CAGCACAGUGUCGUUAUAAUGACGUCAAUUAUUGGACAUUAUUAGUCGGCGACGUCGUAGACCAAUAAGCGACGUCCAUAUGACGUGACAUUUCAGAUGUCAUUUUGACGUCGUCUAGAGACGUCUUUCGUACGUUUGUUUUCGGUCGUUUUAAGUGCUUUUUAAUCAACUAUAAAAAAAAUUAGAACGAAAGUUUAUUACAAAAACUAAGCCCUAUACGUGCUUUAUAAAAAAUUGUACAUUUUAAAUUGUUGUUUACCUAAAAUUUGGAUAUAAAUAUAAAUUCAUUAAUUAGCAAUGAAAAUACUAAACUGACGUUUUAAGUGGAAAUGCAAUUUGAAUUUAAAGAUGAACAUCGAUUCCUGUCGAGGCUGUCGACCAAGAUUUAAUUUUGGCGCGAUUUUAAUCGAAAUGCCACGAUACGAUACGAGACGUGCAGGCGCAUGCGUGCUGGACUGCUGGUGUGAACGCGUGUGCGCGUAAUGGCGGACGGCAGCAAAAAGUUGUUUGGCGAUUUGGUGGGUGUUCUGUACCACUUAAUAUGUAUUUUACAAUUUAAAUUAUGUAAUUCCAGUCGGCAUAUCUAUCGACUUUUGGAGGGAGAGAUUUUACUGGACAUACAAACCGCAUUUUAAAUUUUUUGUUCAUUUAUUCUCUUGCAACUAAUUGGAAUUUUUGUGGCAAACGAGGUGAGAAAAAGGCUUUUAAAAACUUAAACGUAAAGGAUGUGAUUAUUGGUGCUGUAAGAAAAAGCUCCCCUCUAGUCAGUCAGAAAGAAAUAGAAGAUACCAUCAAGGUGUGGUUGAAACAUGCACCAGAGAAAUUGAAAAAGCAGCAGCAUGGCAACCCGUAAGAAAAAAAGUGUUGUUAGUCAAAGACAACUCUACAGAAGGGUGGCAGAAGCAAAUUUAGCACCUGUGAGUCAGAAUUGUUAUAAUACAUCUUUAAUAGUUAAUAAUGAUUCCAAUGAAUCAUCAAAUUCCGUUUUUUUUUGCUGGUUCAAUGUGUGAAAGUGAAAAUGACACCUGUUCCUCAAGAGAUUUAGAUUUUAAUGUAAACUCGCCUAAUGAAAAUUUGCUCUUCAAUGAUGCGACGUUAUACAACCAUUUGACUUCCUAUUCCAGUAACGUGCCCCCUAACGAUUUAUUUUCUAAUGAACCGCCGCCUAGCGAUUUGCAUUCGAAAUUGUCAAACUGGGCAGCUUCAAGGUACGUUCGACGUACAGUAGUUACUCAUCUCUUGCAUUAUCUCCACCAUUUAAAAUCGUUAGUUCAGUCUCCGAAUAAACCGUUACAACAGAUUAAUAGACGCUUAAAAGAAAUUGAAAUGACAGUGUACGAAAAACAUGACUCUACUUCACCUGAUGAUGAACACUUCUGUAAAUGUGAAUUGUCCCAUUUCUUAGGACCAACGCCAAAUUUCUCUUGCAAGCAGUAUAAAAAGCUUCAUUAUAAAGAUUUUAUUUUUUCUAUUGCAUCAUAUUCAGAAGCAAAUUGUUUUUGUCUUACCUUAGAAGGACUGGUUUUCAAAAUAGAAAAUGUAGUGGAUAAUAAUGGAGCAGUUUUUAUAUUAGGUAGGAGGUUUCAGGAUUACCGUUCAUUUUACAAAUACCCUGUCGACUCAAAAGAAUUUAUCCAAAAUUUAUCAGAGUAUAUCGAGUUAUUGCACUGCCACAAAGUUUUUUCGAAAUGUAUUGUUUUUCCUUUCAAGCAGGAAUGGUUGUCAUUUUCAUUAUUGCAUCAUUAGUAAUUCCUUAUUUCAACUUUUAUGUUCUAUAAGUGUAAUAGUAUGUAGUUUUUUAAGAGUUUGUAAUAAACUGGUAUUAAUU